UACGUAGGGCGCAAGCGUUAUCCGGAAUCACUGGGCGUAAAGGGCGCGUAGGCGGCGCGGGUAGUCAACGGUGAAAGCUUGGGGCUCAACCCCGAGUCGGCCGUCGAUACUCCCGCGCUCGAGCACUGUAGAGGCAGGUGGAAUUCCGGGUGUAGCGGUGGAAUGCGUAGAGAUCCGGAAGAACACCGGUGGCGAAGGCGGCCUGCUGGGCAGUAGCUGACGCUGAGGCGCGACAGCGUGGGGAGCAAACAGG
rnacentral:rRNA from 1 species